CUUUCCUUAUGUAGCUGCCCCGGCUUCCUAUUUAUAGAGGGUUGGACAGGGCACGGGGGCAGAGAGGGUCGGGUGGGGCAUGGGUUGGAGAGAGGUAGAGACCGCUGGCCUAGGCCGCUGGCAGGGUUGAGGCCGGCGGCCUAGGCGAAGGGGCCGGUCAACGGUCGGGUUGUUGCUGCCUAAGUACCAGCCUGCUGGAGCAGAAGUUGUCUCUUGGUCGCUCCGUCCAACCGCCGCUACUGCACCGAAAGGGACCGGCCGCACUCCGAGGGCAGGAGGAAGCAGGAACAACGGGCAGGCGACCACAGCGGUACUCACCUAGAGCGUCGCGCCGGGGGUGCUGCGCAGGGAAGCGCGCCAACGGCGGCCUAGGCCGCUGAGGUUCGUAUCGGCGGCGGUCUAGGGAAGGGGAAAGAGAGAGGGCGCCUGGACCGACGUAGGGAGACUACCGGAGGGUACGAGGAACGGCACCUAAGUCAAAGUCAAGAAGAAUACACUUCUAUUAAUCAAUAACAAAAGACCUCCACUUUACUCUUAAGUCAUCAACAUAAACUACACUUAACACUUUGUUAUGUUGAACCCGUGAAAGUCACGUUAAUGUUAUAUAAAAUUAACACUUAGUUCAAAGAAAGACCUUAACAGUUUUAACUACACG
rnacentral:rRNA from 1 species